rnacentral:tRNA from 1 species
CGUUAAGAAGCGAAAUAGCACUAACCUUUUAAGUUGAAGAAUGAGAGUUUAAGCCUCUCCUUAAUGA